rnacentral:rRNA from 1 species
AUGCACGCUGGCGGCGUGCCUCAUCCAUGCAAGUCGAGCGAACAGAUGAGGAGCUUGCUCCUCUGACGUUAGCGGCGGACGGGUGAGUAACACGUGGAUAACCUACCUAUAAGACUGGGAUAACUUCGGGAAACCGGAGCUAAUACCGGAUAAUAUAUUGAACCGCAUGGUUCAAUAGUGAAAGACGGUUUUGCUGUCACUUAUAGAUGGAUCCGCGCCGCAUUAGCUAGUUGGUAAGGUAACGGCUUACCAAGGCAACGAUGCGUAGCCGACCUGAGAGGGUGAUCGGCCACACUGGAACUGAGACACGGUCCAGACUCCUACGGGAGGCAGCAGUAGGGAAUCUUCCGCAAUGGGCGAAAGCCUGACGGAGCAACGCCGCGUGAGUGAUGAAGGUCUUCGGAUCGUAAAACUCUGUUAUUAGGGAAGAACAAAUGUGUAAGUAACUAUGCACGUCUUGACGGUACCUAAUCAGAAAGCCACGGCUAACUACGUG